rnacentral:rRNA from 1 species
CCUACGGGGGGCUGCAGUAAGGAAUAUUGGUCAAUGGACGAAAGUCUGAACCAGCCAUGCCGCGUGGAGGAUGAAGGUCCUCUGGAUUGUAAACUUCUUUUAUAUGGGACGAAAAAAGGCUUUUCUAAGUCGUCUGACGGUACCAUAUGAAUAAGCACCGGCUAACUCCGUGCCAGCAGCCGCGGUAAUACGGAGGGUGCAAGCGUUAUCGGGAUUAAAGGGGUCUAAAGGGGGUGGGGAUGGGAUUGUAGAAAUCCCCGAGCUUAACUUGGGAACUGCCAUUGAUACUAUCAGUCUUGAAUACCGUGGAGGUCAGCGGAAUAUGUCAUGUAGCGGUGAAAUGCUUAGAUAUGACAUAGAACACCAAUUGCGAAGGCAGCUGGCUACCCGAAUAUUGACACUGAGGCACGAAAGCGUGGGGAUCAAACAGGAUUAGAUACCCCGGUAGUC